AUGUCUCCUGAGAAGGAAGUGGAGUCUAAGCCGGGAGAGCCCGGCGGGCAGACGGAUCAGAAGCAGCAGCCGGGAGAGCCCGGCGGGCAGACGGGUCAGAAGCAGCAGCCGGGAGAGUCAGGCGGGCAGACGGGUCAGAAGCAGCAGCCGGGAGAGCCAGGCGGGCAGACCGGUCAGAAGCAGCAGCCGGGAGAGCCCGGCGGGCAGACGGGUCAGAAGCAGCAGCCGGGAGAGCCAGGCGGGCAGACCGGUCAGAAGCAGCAGCCGGGAGAGCCCGGCGGGCAGACGGGUCAGAAGCAGCAGCCGGGAGAGUCAGGCGGGCAGACGGGUCAGAAGCAGCAGCUCGGAGAGCCAGGUGGACAGACGGGUCAGAGGCAGCAGCCGGGAGAGCCAGGUGGACAGACGGAUCAGAAGCAGCAGCCGGGAGAGCCAGGCGGGCAGACGGGUCAGAGACAGCAGCCCGGAGAGCCAGGCGGGCAGACGGGUCAGAGGCAGCAGCCCGGAGAGCCAGGCGGGCAGACGGGUCAGAGGCAGCAGCCCGGAGAGCCAGGCGGGCAGACGGAUCAGAGACAGCAGCCCGCUAACCCAAACCCGGAUGAGACGGUGGCGUCGACCAUGGCAGCAGUUUCCAGUUCGGUGGGAUCUGGACAGCGGCAGGUCAUUGCAGCCAAAUCCCCAAAUCAGCCCCAGACAGCAGAUACCCAGUCAACCGGGACUGCACAGCAGCCUCCGCCACCCGAUCCCAAACCCGAUGAAUCUAGGCAGAAGCCCCCAAAAGAUGAUUCAGAUAAGCUCACAAAAGUUCCUGCGGACGACCGCAUCUCCAAACCCUCCUCAGAUAAGGAGACCGACAAGAUUGACAAGACGGAGCUAGCUGGAAAAGGACAGAAACCAAUGCUUACUUCCAAAACUGAAUCUGGGGAGAGACCGGCAGGGGACUCUGACUUUUCUUUAAAGCCAGGGAAGUCUUCAGAGCUUACCGAAGCUGUGGAAACCAAGGAGACUGAAGAGGGUGAUACAGAGCCAGAAGAGGGCUCACCGCUUGAAGAAGAUAAUGAAAAGGUGUUUGACCCUUCCUCCAGUGAGAACCGAGAGGAGACACUUAGGGAGUCUGUGAAUGAUGAGAAGGAUGACUCUUAUAAGGACAGUUCUGGAAACACCAGUGCAGAGAGCAGCCACUUCUUUGCUUAUCUGGUGACUGCAGCUGUUCUUGUUGCUGUCCUCUAUAUUGCUUACCACAACAAACGGAAGAUUAUUGCUUUUGCCCUAGAAGGAAAAAGAUCCAAAGUCACUCGGAGGCCAAAGGCCAGUGACUACCAGCGUUUGAACCUAAAGCUUUGAUUAUUUUUUAUUGUCUGCAAGAACCUUGUCCUCCCUGCUGAUUUGUUUACGAAUCAAGAGAAAUGAAAAGACUGACCCCCUCUGGGGUUUGGUGGCAAGUCUGGGCUGGCCGAGACGGGGUUGCUUCAG
rnacentral:lncRNA from 1 species